rnacentral:snRNA from 1 species
AGCUGUGAAGGGGAUCUGGCUGCAACAGCUGUCACCCUAUUGAUGACCAGGGUUGAUUCCGCUGAUGUGACUGGCUAGGCGGAUGUCCCCUUCCUCCCUCACUGUUCCAUGUGCAUCCCUCCCAAAGCUGCACACCCUGUCAAAGAAUCCAACCAUCCCACAUAGACCAGGACAGUUCUUUGGUCAAGGGUAUACAUGUAGCUGUACUUCCCUACUAGAAUCUCCUCAGGUAAAACCUGUGUUUUACCUGAUACUGUAUAGGGAAUAUGGAAAUAUCUCUUGCCUGGUUGGAUAUCAUAAAUCUUGGGUUCUUU